AUACGGAGGGAGCAAGCGUUAUUCGGAAUCACUGGGCGUAAAGGACGCGUAGGCGGGUUUGUAAGUCAGGUGUGAAAUCCUACAGCUCAACUGUAGAACUGCACUUGAAACUACAGACCUAGAGUAUGGAAGGGGCAGAUGGAAUUAGUGGUGUAGGGGUAAAAUCCGUAGAUAUCACUAGGAAUACCGAAAGCGAAGGCGAUCUGCUGGGACAUUUCUGACGCUGAGGCGUGAAAGCGUGGGGAGCAAACAGGAUUAGAAACCCCAGUAGUCC
rnacentral:rRNA from 1 species